UACGGGGGGGGCAAGCGUUGUUCGGAAUUACUGGGCGUAAAGGGCUUGUAGGUGGCCAACUAAGUCAGACGUGAAAUCCCUCGGCUUAACCGGGGAACUGCGUCUGAUACUGGAUGGCUUGAGUUCGGGAGAGGGAUGCGGAAUUCCAGGUGUAGCGGUGAAAUGCGUAGAUAUCUGGAGGAACACCGGUGGCGAAGGCGGCAUCCUGGACCGAUACUGACGCUGAGACGCGAAAGCGUGGGGAGCAAACAGG
rnacentral:rRNA from 1 species